rnacentral:rRNA from 1 species
CCUACGGGGUGCAGCAGUGGGGAAUAUUGGACAAUGGGCGAAAGCCUGAUCCAGCCAUGCCGCGUGUGUGAAGAAGGCCUUCGGGUUGUAAAGCACUUUCAGUGGGGAAGAAAGCCUUGGGGCUAAUACCCUCGAGGAAGGACAUCACCCACAGAAGAAGCACCGGCUAACUCCGUGCCAGCAGCCGCGGUAAUACGGAGGGUGCGAGCGUUAAUCGGAAUUACUGGGCGUAAAGCGCGCGUAGGCGGUCUGGUAAGCCGGUUGUGAAAGCCCCGGGCUCAACCUGGGAACGGCAUCCGGAACUGUCAGGCUAGAGUGCAGGAGAGGAAGGUAGAAUUCCCGGUGUAGCGGUGAAAUGCGUAGAGAUCGGGAGGAAUACCAGUGGCGAAGGCGGCCUUCUGGACUGACACUGACGCUGAGGUGCGAAAGCGUGGGUAGCAAACAGGAUUAGAUACCCCAGUAGUC